rnacentral:rRNA from 1 species
GAUGAACGCUGGCGGCGUGCCUAAUACAUGCAAGUCGAGCGAACGGACGAGAAGCUUGCUUCUCUGAUGUUAGCGGCGGACGGGUGAGUAACACGUGGAUAACCUACCUAUAAGACUGGGAUAACUUCGGGAAACCGGAGCUAAUACCGGAUAAUAUUUUGAACCGCAUGGUUCAAAAGUGAAAGACGGUCUUGCUGUCACUUAUAGAUGGAUCCGCGCUGCAUCAGCUAGUUGGUAAGGUAACGGCUUACCAAGGCAACGAUGCAUAGCCGACCUGAGAGGGUGAUCGGCCACACUGGAACUGAGACACGGUCCAGACUCCUACGGGAGGCAGCAGUAGGGAAUCUUCCGCAAUGGGCGAAAGCCUGACGGAGCAACGCCGCGUGAGUGAUGAAGGUCUUCGGAUCGUAAAACUCUGUUAUUAGGGAAGAACAUAUGUGUAAGUAACUGUGCGCAUCUUGACGGUACCUAAUCAGAAAGCCACGGCUAACUACGUG